CUCCACCUCACCUCUUCUUUGAAUUUCUCAAGCAACUAGAGCAUCCAAGAAACUUCUUACCUCUCCAUUUCCCACGGGUACACAAAUCAGAAUUCUCACUCACUUUACACUCUUUUCUCUUAAGGAAAGAGUUAGGAAGCUCCCUUGAGUCUUUCUCUUGAGUCCAUGGGUUCACACACACCAAAAGAAAGAUAGGUCUCCAUUUUAUCUCUUAUUUGACUCUUUCAAAGUAACUACAACAAUCAAGAACUCUCUCCCUCUUUCAUUCCUAUGGGUCCAACACCAAAAGAAGGAAAAGCUCUCAACUCUUUUCUCUCUUUCACACCUAUAGGUCCAGCAGUAAGGAAAGAUGUUUCUUUCAAUUCUUCUCAAGCUUUUGUACCCAACUUGAAGCUAAAGUGAUUCUAGCUCUAUCACUCCAAGAAUCCAUGUCUAGGGUGUUACCAGCCCCAGGUCUAAUCUCCUUCGACUGUAGGCUCUUGGUUCCUCUGCUUUCAGGUAAGGGAUAAGUUAUAUGGGUAUUUGGUAAGUCAUGAGGUUAUUUUAAAUUAUAUUAUGCAUUAAAAGGUUUUUGAUUAGAAAUAUGGCAUAUAAUCAUUAUUCUGACAAAGAUAUGUUCGUGAGCUUUCGAAACCUUAUGUAUAUGAUUAAGCAUACUGAUGUCAUUACUAAUUUCCACGAACAUGAUGUUUAAAGAAAAGAAUGAAAAUACUAUUAUUAUGAAAUGUUAUACAAAAUAAGAAAUUUUAGUAUGAUGUAAAGUAUGAAAUGUUUUCGGGUUAUGUCCUCUGGUAAUCUGAACUCUAUCAGUAGGGGUUAAUUAUUGGCUUUCCAUGAAAAAUGUUAUAUGAUUGGCCAUUAAGUGGGACUGGCUCUGCUAUACCCGCCCUUGUUGGUUAUGGCCAACUUGUGGAGGAAGUCAACCUACCCCUAUGGUUGAAAGAUAUGUAUUAUGAUGUGAUCCCGAGAAUACCUGGCAUUGUGGGGAAUGCUGGAUGCCUAGCACUGUGGUGCUAGAAGCCUCCCAAAUAAGUACAGACUUAUCAGAUAUGGAAUAACCAGUAAGUUAUUCAUGAACAGCUAUAUUAUAUUUGGUGACCUUGUAAGAAAUGAAAGAAAUAAAAUUCGAAAGGUUUUGGUAAUAUUAUUCUAAUAAGAAAAGGGAGAACAAUUAUUUUCCUAUGAAAAGUGUAUAAGUUAUUAUUAUGAAUAGUAUAAAAUACUAUUCAUGAAAAGUUGUUCUCCUAUUCGAAUAUUCAUAGAAUGAAAUGAUCUGAUUUACAUGCAUUCUUAUUAAAUUCUCAUAUAUCUUACCUUUACUGAGCUGUGUAGCUCACCCCUUCCACUCUUUCAGUCAACAAGUUUUAUUUUGGAGCAGAAGGGGCCUUAGUCAAGUUUGGAAGGAGCUGGUUUUAGUUUUAUAUGUAUAGAUCCUAAAUUAGCAAUUUGAUGUUUAGAUUUGUAGUAUGGUGUAUUUUAGGAUAUAAUGAAAGUGUGUACCUUAAAGUAUUAAAAGAUGUAUUAUGUGAAAUUUAGAAUUUGAAUAAUCGGUGGAUUGUGUUAUCCUUUGAGGUACAAUGUAGAUGCUCUGAAUAUCAAGUAGAAAGUUAUAUCAUUUAAGUAAAGAAACAAGAAUGAAAAGAAAGAGUGAAGCUUUUGUAAAAGUUUUGGAAAAAGUUAAGUUGGUUCUUAUUAAUAUCAGGUUUAAGCUUGAUAUUAGCAUGCCGGUCAUGGUCACAAAUCCGGGUAUCGGGUUUGGGGCAUGA